UUAAAGCUGUGUACUGUAAUCACUUCGCUGACUUCAGCAACUUAAAUGCUGAAAGUGUAAACCAGGAGUCCUUAAAUUCAGGCAAACAUAGUCGUUCUUCAAUUUUUAAAUGUGUAUUUGUACCUUAAUUAGCUGAAUAACCUCACAUGCAGCCAAAUUCUCCAGAUUUCUGACAUUAUUUGAUUUAGGUGUGUUGAGGCAGAGAUGCAUUUAAAAGUUGGAGGGGAUUGUACCUGGAGGACUGACUAAAAGAUGAAUAGGACUUAACAAAAUUCAUUUGUGCAAAAAACCCACCCUUUUUCCUUAAAUUAUGGCUCAAGUAUUCUUGUAAGGCUGUACUACUGGCUGAACCUCAAUAUAUUGAACACUGAUCAUUGUAUGAACUAUUUGUAGAUGGUAAAGCACUUUUUAAAAUCAGUGAUUAAAUAAAUUAUAGUGUUGUUGUUUUAUCUGAGGUAUGUGUCUUGCAUGUAUAACAUGUUUCCAUAGUAAUAAUUAAAUUUUUAGCUUUAAAGCUUGUAGGAAUWAUAAAGAAGCCUGUAAUUCCUUAUUUGACUGUUAUAACUUUUCAUACAUGCCAGUAAAACAUGCAGAGGCGAAGACGCAUAAAACCGAAGGAAGAUGCCAAAUAUUAUAUUGAUACCAAAACUGACAAAGUGGGGCUUGACGUCAAGUACAUCAAUGCCUUUAAAGGCCGUGGUAUUUUUGCCACAACCUCUUUUCAGAAAGGAGACUUUCUGUGUGAGUAUCGAGGUGAACUGAUAAGUAAAGAGGAAUGUGAGAGGAGACAGAAAAUUUACCAUGACAACCUUAAAGUUUUCUUGUUUGAAUUCUACUUUAAUGGAAAACUCUGGUGUGUUGAUGCAGCAAAAGAAGAUGGCUCUCUUGGAAGGCUUAUAAACGAUGACAAUAUCAGCCCAAAUACCAAAAUGAAGUAUCUGACUGUGCAACAGAAGCCACAUUUGUGUUUAUUUGCAACUCGAGAUAUCAAUCAGGGAGAAGAGAUUAGGUACAAUUAUGGGGACUCAGACUGGCCAUGGCGACUCAAGGUACUAAAAAAAUCAAAAUUUAUGAAUCUUAAGAUUAUGUUCAUUUAAG